UACAGAGGUCCCAAGCGUUGUUCGGAUUCACUGGGCGUAAAGGGUGCGUAGGUGGCAGGGUAAGUUUGAUGUGAAAUCUCCGAGCUCAACUCGGAAACUGCAUUGAAUACUAUCCUGCUUGAGGAUUGGAGGGGAGACUGGAAUUCCUGGUGUAGCGGUGGAAUGCGCAGAUAUCAGGAGGAACACCGAUGGCGAAGGCAGGUCACUGGGCCGCAACUGACGCUGAGGAGCGAAAGCAUGGGGAGCGAACAGG
rnacentral:rRNA from 1 species